GACGAACGCUGGCGGCGCGCUUAACACAUGCAAGUCGAGCGAAGCGGCGGACGGGUGAGUAACACGUGAGUAACCUGCCUUAGACAUUGGGAUAGCCUCGGGAAACCGGGAUUAAUACCAAAUGGUCUAAGAUGGGCUCGCGUCCCAUUAGCUAGUUGGUGGGUAACGGCCCACCAAGGCGACGAUGGGUAGCCGGCCUGGGAGGGUGAACGGCAACAUUGGAACUGAGAAACAGUCCAAACUCUACGGGAGGCAGCAGUGGGGAAUAUAGCACAAUGGAGGGAGCGAUGAUGCAGUGACGCCGGGUGAACGAAGAAGGCUUUCGAGUCGGAAAGUUCUUUUAUAUGGGAAGCGGUACCAUAAGAAAAAGCCCCGGCUAACUACGUGCCAGCAGCCGCGGUAAUAC
rnacentral:rRNA from 1 species